GCAAUCUGCCUUUCACAGAGGGAUAGCCCAGAGAAAUUUGGAUUAAUACCUCAUAGCAUUACAGGAUGGCAUCAUCCUGCAAUUAAAGUCACAACGGUGAAAGAUGAGCAUGCGUCCCAUUAGCUAGUUGGUAAGGUAACGGCUUACCAAGGCGACGAUGGGUAGGGGUCCUGAGAGGGAGAUCCCCCACACUGGUACUGAGGCACGGACCAGACUCCUACGGGAGGCAGCAGUGAGGAAUAUUGGUCAAUGGACGCAAGUCUGAACCAGCCAUGCCGCGUGCAGGAUGACGGUCCUAUGGAUUGUAAACUGCUUUUGCACAGGAAGAAACACUCCGACGUGUCGGAGCUUGACGGUACUGUGAGAAUAAGGAUCGGCUAACUCCGUGCCAGCAGCCGCGGUAAUACGGAGGAUCCAAGCGUUAUCCGGAAUCAUUGGGUUUAAAGGGUCCGUAGGCGGUCUUGUAGGUCAGUGGUGAAAGCCCAUCGCUCAACGGUGGAACGGCCAUUGAUACUGCAGGACUUGAAUUAUUGGGAAGUAACUAGAAUAUGUAGUGUAGCGGUGAAAUGCUUAGAGAUUACAUGGAAUACCAAUUGCGAAGGCAGGUUACUACUAAUGGAUUGACGCUGAUGGACGAAAGCGUGGGUAGCGAACAGGAUUAGAUACCCUGGUAGUCCACGCCGUAAACGAUGGAUACUAGCUGUUGGAAGCAAUUUCAGUGGCUAAGCGAAAGUGAUAAGUAUCCCACCUGGGGAGUACGUUCGCAAGAAUGAAACUCAAAGGAAUUGACGGGGGCCCGCACAAGCGGUGGAGCACGUGGUUUAAUUCGAUG
rnacentral:rRNA from 1 species